rnacentral:pre_miRNA from 1 species
UUGGCAUUCUCUGAACUCUCUCCCUCAGUGGCCCUUUCAUGACUUUAGGUUGAAGGAGGAGCCUUUAAGGUGUGAGGGUUCAGAAAUUGCCAG